AGAGUUAGUGCUAGUCAGUGCCCUUGCCUUACAGUGAGAAGGUCUUUGGCUCGAGUGCCAGUGAUCUGACGGUCUUUCUGAUUGUUCUUGAGUUCCUACAGUUUUCCUUCGCCGCAGUUCAAAUGGAUGCGAGGACCUGGGGAGCUGUCCAAGGUGCUAUUCCAUCCUCGCCCCCCGUUCACUACAGGAUUGGCAACAGCUUAAGUCUGACCAGGAUUAGGAGAAAACUUGCUGAUGAGCUGCGUCUGAGUUUCUCCUGACAGACGACGCUGUGGAACUCUCUGGAACACUCUGGAGCAACAUCAGCCUCUCUGUCUGAUUAUCCAGCCUGGACUAAUUACACAUCAUUGGACGACUGGGUGGGGGCUGGUGGGCACAGUAAUGGAGUUUGUUGCCCACACAGCUCUGUGGUGCAGCAGACACAGAGCUGAGAGAACCGUCGGUUCUGCAGAGUUCCAGCAGCUUCAGGAGGAACCUAAUCCCACUCUGCGGUCCACAGUGGCCGUGCACGCUGCAGCUCUAAAAGCAGAGGCAUGGAGCUGCUCCGCGGGGAAUUAUCAGUGUCAUCAGCUGCUGUACGAGGUAUUAUUCCGUGGCUGCAGCUCAGAGGUGUCUCGGGAAUUAAACACUUUCAAAGCCAACACAGGCAGCAGCUCUUAAUUCUUUAAUCACCCUCAUUUUUCCUCUGUUUCCUUCUGCCUUGUCUGCUAACAGAUGUUAUCAUUCAGUGAGAUUUAUCUCAGAGUUUUAUACCCGUUCACAUUUACAUUUUAAUCACUUCCCAUUUAGAAUUCUAUCUUUGGGCGCUGAAGAUGAGUCCUAAAUAAAACAGACACUUAACUAGUGCAGGAUUCUUUUUUUUUCCUCUUUUGACUCUUUUGAGACGCAACUGGCACAAAAUGAAAGCCUCCUGAAAACUGUAUGCACUUGCAUGUGUGUGUGUGUGUGUGUGUGUGUGUGUUUAAAUGAUAGUUGCAUUGGAAAUGUUUCUCUGCCGCCCGCCGACAUCUCUUGCUGAGGGAGAUGAGAGGAACUGACACACAGAAUUAAAAAUAUCUCUCAAUAACACUCCCACACACACACACACACACACACACACAGACGUGCAACCAUACACACUUUAAACUGGCAUCUACUGCUGAAGACUUUUUCGCCGUCUCUCUCUCUCAUCUUUUCAGUUCCCCUCUCGUGCACAUGGCUGCAGAUAUAGAAUCUGCCGCUUGUUGUGAGAUUUGAAGAGAUCUCCAACCAGAAGUAAACAAGUGUCAGAAGCUUACGGCAGCUUAAACUGGAUCUUUUUUAACACCCUCUCAACCACCACCCCCCCCCUCCCCCCAUGUUAAAGUGCCUUCAUCAAACUGUAGGUCAGUGUGAGUGAACAUUUGGAGUUAGUCUUUGCAGAGUGAUUAUGUGGACAGUGUACAGUAAUCCUCCUGGUGUGGUGUUGUCUGUGUGAAGAGCAGAGCCAAUUGUGUUUGUAUGAAUGGCAGUGAAGCAGGUUUUUUCAUGAAUGAACAGAACACGAGCAGCAGCAGCAGCAGCAGCAGCAGCAGCA